GAAAUGCGAUAACUAGUGUGAAUUGCAGAAUUCCGUGAAUCAUCGAGUCUUUGAACGCACAUUGCGCCCCCUGGUAUUCCGGGGGGCAUGCCUGUCCGAGCGUCAUUGCUGCCAAUCAAGCACGGCUUGUGUGUUGGGUCGUCGUCCCCUCUCCGGGGGGGACGGGCCCCAAAGGCAGCGGCGGCACCGCGUCCGAUCCUCGAGCGUAUGGGGCUUUGUCACCCGCUCUGUAGGCCCGGCCGGCGCUUGCCGAACGCAAAUCAAUCUUUUUCCAGGUUGACCUCGGAUCAGGUAGGGAUACCCGCUGAACUUAAGC
rnacentral:misc_RNA from 1 species